rnacentral:rRNA from 1 species
GCCAGACUCCUACGGGAGGCAGCAGUGGGGGAUAUUGCACAAUGGGGGAAACCCUGAUGCAGCGACGCCGCGUGGGUGAGGAAGUAUUUCGGUAUGUAAAGCCCUAUCAGCAGGGAAGAAGAUGACAGUACCUGACUAAGAAGCCCCGGCUAACUACGUGCCAGCAGCCGCGGUAAUACGUAGGGGGCAAGCGUUAUCCGGAUUUACUGGGUGUAAAGGGGGCGCAGACGGCGAUGCAAGCCAGGAGUGAAAGCCCGGGGCCCAACCCCGGGACUGCUCUUGGAACUGCGUGGCUAGAGUGCAGGAGGGGCAGGCGGAAUUCCUGGUGUAGCGGUGAAAUGCGUAGAUAUCAGGAGGAACACCGGUGGCGAAGGCGGCCUGCUGGACUGCAACUGACGCUGAGGCACGAAAGUGUGGGGAGCAAACAGGAUUAGAUACCCCCGUAAA